CGUGCGUGAGAGAGAGAGAGAGAGAGAGUUUCACCUCGCUCCGGGUCAGACGCUUCUCGCUGCACCUGUUGCAACCUCGGUGAACAGGUGCAUGGAACUUGGCGCUGCACUCUGCUGCCCUCUCAUGGCAGGCAUUCACAGGAAAAUAAAGAAUUGCAGUAGUAUUUAUGAAAAACUAUGAAUAACAAAGACUGACAACCAUUGUAGAAAAGAAGACAGAUUGUGGAGAAGAUACCAAUUCCUAAAAGUACAUACUUACCACCAGGCUCGAGGAUAAGACUAUAAAGUCAUACGCUUUAUUAGUUCCCUAGUACGAAACACCAUAGAACUGUUGGAAAACUACACCCAACAGGACGGACAAAUGACCAAUCUGCAAAAGGCAACAAACUGUACAGAUGCAGAAUAAAAAAACAACAAUAAUAGUGAAUAAAUAAUGAAGCAAUAAAUAUCAAGAUCAUAAGAUGAAGAGCCCUUAGAUUGUGGGGAACAGUUCAGUGAUGAGGCUUUGAAGUUAAUUGAUCCACAUCGUGUUUACUUAAAGAGUGAGACAAGAAUGAAGUGUAACCUGCUCCUGUCUGUGUUCCAUGAUGUGCUUUAUUAAAAUUCUAAUUCAGCACUUGAAUUUUAAUGAAGUUUGUUCUUUCAGAGAACAUGACACGUUGACUUUUCGCAUGAAAAGCUUUAUGAAAUCUUUAUUACUGUGAUCCAUCUUUGCAUCUGUUCCCGGCAGAUCAGAUUACAUUCUGAGUGUAUAACCCAAAUUACUGUUAAGAAACAAUCUUUGAAUAUCCUUGAAGCAGAAUUAAUCAGCACCCUGUUUUUAUUCAUAUUUGUGGUGAACUCAUCUCUACCCCACUUACAAUCGGAAUGUAGUCACACUGAAGGGCUAAUUAUUGCAGUUAUGCACUUCUGGUUUGGUUUUCUCCAUGCAAGAUGACUGAAGUCACAUCUUUAGUAACUCACCUGACAAUUCUUUCUGUACUACACAGUAUGUGAAUACU